rnacentral:rRNA from 1 species
UACAGAGGUCUCAAGCGUUUGUUCGGAUUCAUUGGGCGUAAAGGGUGCGUAGGCGGCGCGGUAAGUCGGGUGUGAAAUCUCGGGGCUUAACUCCGAAACUGCAUUCGAUACUGCCGUGCUUGAGGACUGGAGAGGAGACUGGAAUUUACGGUGUAGCGGUGAAAUGCGUAGAUAUCAUGAGGAAUACCAGAGGCGAAGGCGGCUACCUGGACAAUUGCUGACGCUCAGGCACGAAAGCGUGGGGAGCAAAAGGG